GAUGAACGCUGGCGGCGUGCCUAAUACAUGCAAGUCGAGCGAACAGACGAGGAGCUUGCUCCUCUGACGUUAGCGGCGGACGGGUGAGUAACACGUGGAUAACCUACCUAUAAGACUGGGAUAACUUCGGGAAACCUGAGAUAAUACCGGAUAAUAUAUUGAACCGCAUGGUUCAAUAGUGAAAGACGGUUUUGCUGUCACUUAUAGAUGGAUCCGCGCCGCAUUAGCUAGUUGGUAAGGUAACGGCUUACCAAGGCGACGAUGCGUAGCCGACCUGAGAGGGUGAUCGGCCACACUGGAACUGAGACACGGUCCAGACUCCUACGGGAGGCAGCAGUAGGGAAUCUUCCGCAAUGGGCGAAAGCCUGACGGAGCAACGCCGCGUGAGUGAUGAAGGUCUUCGGAUCGUAAAACUCUGUUAUUAGGGAAGAACAAAUGUGUAAGUAACUAUGCACGUCUUGACGGUACCUAAUCAGAAAGCCACGGCUAACUACGUG
rnacentral:rRNA from 1 species